rnacentral:misc_RNA from 1 species
CUUCCUCCGUUUCACAAUGUAAGUCAUUCUAGCAUUUCCCACAUUCAUAUUGAUAUCUAGAUUCAUUAGCAUUAAUAUGAAUGUGGGAAAUGCUAGAAUGACUUAUAUUGUGAAACGGAGGGAGUACCUA